rnacentral:misc_RNA from 1 species
AACGCACAUUGCGCCCUAUGGUAUUCCGUAGGGCAUGCCUGUCUGAGCGUCAGCUCCCCCCCUCUCAAGCUUCUUUUUUAGAAGCUUGGAUUACUUUGAAGAAGUAGCUCCUUUUCCAAAAAGAGCCGCCCUUCAGAAAUUUAUAGGCAGUAUUGGUUGCACCUGAACCAGACGUAAUAAUAAUAAAAUCGUCUUUUUAGGUAUGCCGUACUCGCCCCAACCCACCCAUUUUAUCCUGGGUGACCUCAGAUCAGGUAGGGAUACCCGCUGAACUUAA